ACAAUACUCCCUACCAAAUGCAGCUCCAAUCACUAUUGCACCAACAACCAAUUAGUAUCAACAACUGUGUUUUUUUUUUUUUUUUUUUUUUUUGAAAUAUACCAAUAAAUGACUUUAAAUAGCAUAAAGUAGUAUAAAAACAUAAAUGUGGAGCCAAAUAAUGGUCACACUAGAUCUGGAUCUAAGUGUUAAUUUGGAAAUUGGUAGUUCGCCCAUUUAUCUUCAUCCUCCCUCUAACAAACCUCACUUUCCUAACUUUCUCUCUCCUCCUUCGUCUCAAAUUUUCCGACGCUUUCGCUUUCGAUUUACACGCCCACUUUCUCUCUCUGCAUCGCACUGGUGCCUGGCUUUUCUGUAUCUCUCCAAUUUCUUUCUCUCUCCUAAUUAAAGAGUCUGAACAAGGCGUUGGUGCAUCAACCAUGGCUCUUGAUAAUGCCAUAUCUUCUCCUCAUAGACGAACUCAGGGAGCGUUUGUUUCAUCUUCGCCUCACAAAAAGUUUUCACAUAAUGACAUAAGCUUCACUACACUCAUCCAGCGUCACCGUUUCCUUCUAGUAGCUCUUGUUCUUUUGGUCGUACUAUGUACUGUAUACCUUUAUUUUGCAGUCACAAUGAGUUCAGGUGAAUCAUGUUCUGGUUUACUGGGAACAGAGAGAGCGUUGUGUCUUGAGAACCAAGGCAAAGGAACCUUCAACAAAGGAAAAUUGAAGUUAUUCUGAUGAACGACAGUAAACUGGGAGUGUGAAUUUUGCAUUAAUUGGCUAUUAUUUGUUAGUGUUAUACGCACUAGUUAGUCCUGGUUUGUGCUAUUUAUUCCAAAAUUAUAUUGUAUACAUGCAAUUGAAGUUGCAAUUUCUUCAAAAAAAAAUUGUAAUUGUGAUCACUGAUGAGUGAUGACCCCUUAAGGUUGGGUAUUUAUAGGCGCCUUUUCUUUUCUAA